rnacentral:lncRNA from 1 species
AAAUUAAGCAUCCACUUGAAGUGCAACAUUGUUAGAGUAUUGGUACAACACAUAUAAGUGAUUCAACUCUUUUUGGAUUUUUUAGGGUAAAUUUUAUAUACAUUGAUAGUGUAUGAACUAUCCCGGUUAGAUGCAUGAUACAUAAGUAAAAUUUAGAUUUCAAAUUUAAAUUCAGAUAAGUUAUUAUGCAUUCAAUAAUGAUGGUAUAUACAUUGUUAAUGUAUAAAAAGUUAAUCUUUUUUUUUAUCAGUUGAUCAUAAAAGUAAUGGAUUAGGUAGUUAACGUUUCUCGAACCCCAAAUUAGGUUGAUGAAAGUUAUUCAAAUGUUCUUUUGAUCAAUUAACAAAUAAAAAAUGGAUUUGGCUGUUAAAGAUUCUGAAACCCCGCAUUCUUCGCCAUAUUUUGUGUGUUACUAAUAACAAAUUUAUAAGUUUGACAGUUACUGUCGACUUGAACUCUUUGUGAAGAAAUUUCCUUCUAAGCUAAGCUAGUCAGGUUUCCCUAAUAAGAAACUAAAAAAAAAGGGGAAAAAAAUCAAUUAGGGUCACGCAAAAAUGAAGAGGAAUAAAGUACAUUUUCUUUUUGCCCCCUUAAGAAUAAGGUAGUUUUCAAAAAGAGAAAAAGAAGAUUCAUGAGGUUACUUUUUAGUUGUGGCUAGCCACACCUAUGGAAUUUUUUAAUUUUCCAAUGAUGUAAUGUAAGCUUUUGAUUUGGAAGCAUUUUUUUUAACAUCUAUAACAAUUUAUAUCUCGUAGUGAAGCUGUGAAAUAUAGCAAAAUCCUGGGUUAAUUACAGUUUGCCCUUUUGACCUUGACCCUUUUAACACUUUGCCCCCCUA